UUUUGGUAAACUAUCUUUUUUUUCUAAAACAAGUAAACUAUAUGGUAAGCAUAAUGGAAAGUACAUAUUUUCUAAACAUAAACUUUAUAUCUGAUUUGAUGUAGAGUAUGAAGAGUUGCAUAUUUAUAUAUACAGUUAUUAUACACAUAGAGAACAAAGGAGAAUUGUAGUCACAAUCCCCCCCUCUGCUGGCGUAUUCGAGCCGCCCAUGACGUAUUCUCAGCACCAUCCAUGACCUUGCUAUCACUUCUUCUCUUCAGGCCAUCGAGUUGAGAUUGCCAACGAGACUUCCAUUCACCCUUUUGUUCACUCACCUAAUAAGAAAGCAAUAACUUAGAUCAGUAUGUAAAUUAAAAAAACAACACCAUUCUUCUAGCCAAUCCCCCCAAAGGUCCUAUUCAAGCAAAUACAGAAAAUUAAAAUGUCCCUAUCUCUUUUGAAGGCGUGAUUCAUUACCAUGAUUCAAGGAUUAUAUUAUAAUAUGAAUGAAUAAAAAAUGAUUUAGCAGAUCACAUUAGAUAUCUUCAGAAGAUAAUUUUUGUCAUCGUUGUUGAUUAUCGUCAUUAUUUAUAUUAUUAUGUUGUUUCCUGACUCAUUCUAUAAUCGACUAAUCAAAUUUAAAACAAUGAGAAAACAACAUCUUGAAUUCUGUGAUUAGUUUAAAUUGUAUAGACUAUUGAUGAGCUGAAGAGCCAACUUAACAUUUAAUACAACUACAUUAAUAUUAGUAACUUGUUCAGUGUUUGUGGUGGUGAGCUGGGUUUGAUGUUGACAUACACACACAAAAGGAAAUGAAUAUGGAGAAUAGACAAAAACCAGAAUAGAAGCCGUAACAUACUCAUACAAGCAAAAUGUCUACAAGAAAAGGUUUCAAUCUCUCUCAUAAUCCAAGAAAAAAUAUAAUUGAUUAUGGAAGGGAGUCAAUUUGCAAUUUUGUAGACUAAAUAAAUAAUAAUAUAAGCUCACAGCAAGAGAAAGUUAUACUAUCAUGAAAAAUAAGAAAAAUGAAAAAGAGCUUAAUGUAAGCAAAAUUAUUUUAAGAAAAAAUUGACUUAAUUGGUGCCCACGCCACACCCAAAACGUAAGUCAGUUACACCUAAACCAGGUUGCCUGUUUUUUAUUUUAUUAAUAAUAAUAAAUUAUAAAUUGUUUCAGUGCACACCUAAAAUGUACUAAUUAAACAACUAUCACUUUGUUUUUACUUCGAUUCAUAUUAAAAGGAUUUGUAUACGUGACAGUGAAAACAAAAUGACAGUUUAUUCUGAAACUAUUCAGGUCCUAAAGCGUUUCAUCAUCCUAAAAUAUUUGAACCUAAGACAAAGAAGGAGAUAGCACAAAAGAGUCAUCAAGCACCCGUAAAUAUCACGGACCAGAAGUCACGAUUAAGCAAAUUUAAUUCCCCCUCAAAAUAUUACGAUACUCCCUACAAUCCAGUUCUGAUAUAUAUUUGUUCCUAAGGUAACCAAAUCAGUAGGAAAAUAAUUUUGAGACUCAAAUACAAAACAGUCUCACUUCAUUGAGAUUCUGUGAAGUUCCAUCUCAGUUCUGUGAGAGUUUCAGGCUCAGUCGUUGAUAAAUUUUCAAAAUUUUGGCAAUUGAAUAGCGACCACAAUGUGGAGCCAAGAUAAGGAGGAAGCCUUAAAUGAUGAUGAAACCACACCAUGUCAUGUAAACAAAAUUUAAAAUUAUCAUUGAAUUUUACAAAACAUGUUUAGAUUAGCUUAUUUUGCAGUGGAAAACCCGGUUUCAGUCAUAAGCUUUACCCUGAACAGAUUGAUAAAUUGUAAACUUUUCAGGGGAAAACAAUAAUUAGUCCAAGCUCUUCAAUUAUUAACGUGAGCCUUGAUGAGUCUUUUUCAAAUGUGAUUCUGAAUGACUUUGAUUUUGUAAAGUUGAUUUGAACAAAAAUGACUCAGAAGUGGAUUGAUUUGAGUUUGAAUUUUUUACAUUCAAGUUAAUUUGAUGUAGAACUUGGUGUAAAUUUUUUCAACCCAAGCAAAACUAAUAUUAACAUGUAAUAACCAUAUAUGAUAUUUUUAAGCAAAAAUCACAUUUUCCCCAUGCAAAAUCAAUUUAAGGACUAUAAACACAAGAAUCAUCUAUGAUGGUGUAAAAAGAGCAUGAGCUAAACUUGCUUGAGAUACCAUGCAAAAUCAAUUUAAGGACUAUAAACACAAGAAUCAUCCAUGAUGGUGUAAAAAGAGCAUGACAUAAACUUGCUUGAGACACCAAAAGCUUCUCAAACAAAAAAGGAACAAACACACAAUUCCAACACAGAAUUUGCACAAUAACAGCCAUACACUGACAAAACUUGAGAACAAAUUACAACCUCAAAAAGGGAGAAAAAAUAUCCUAACAAAUAAUAAUUAAUAACUGAAUAGAAAGUUAAAUAUCAACCAAAAAUCAGAACCUUGACAAAUCAACCCUCCCGGAUGAAAACAAUGAAGGGUCUGUUUGGAUUGACUUAUCUUAGCUUACUAAUUGACAAAAACACUUUGUAAAGAUAUUCAUAAGAGUUUAUGAAAACAGUUUAUGACAUGCCCAUAAGCUAUUUUUAGCUUAUUUUUAUAAGCUCUCCAGAAUAGCUUAUGAAAACAGUUUAACAUCAUUUUAUUGUUGGCUAUAUUAAUAACUUAUACAUAAGCACUUAUAUGAUAAUCACUUAUCCUGUAAGUAUUUAAUUAAGCUGUUUAUCCAAAAAUGAUAUAACUUAACAAUUGAUUUGAUUCAUAUAUACUAUCGGUGUAAAAAGGUUUCAAACAUGCAUCCAAUCAUAUAUCAGUUCAAAAAUUCCAUAUCAAUUAACUCUUUAACAAUCAUCCAUAACAAUAACAAACAUAAACACUAAACUCAAAUAACAACAAUCAAACCACACACUAAUUCCAAAACAAAAAAUCAACAUAAAAAUAUCAAAAUCAUAAAUUAAUUAAUUAAACAAAAAAAAACACCACAUAAGAAAAAAAAUCAAAUUUUUAUGAAAUAUAAGAAAAAAUGGAAAGAAAAAAAAAAUAGAAACCUGAUCAGAAUGAUUAUAGCAUUUACGAGCAUUGAAAGCAAGAUGAAUCCCUCUAGCCAUAUCUCUAUCAUACAUAAUCCUUCUUGAUGGAUCAGACAAAGUUUCAUACGCCUCCUGCACCUGAAUAAACCUCUUGGUAUACUCUUCGACCCGAUCCGGUGGUGAAACAUCCGGGUGAUACUUUCUUGCAAGUUGUUUAUAAGCGCUUUUGAUAUCCAUCAAUGAACCGGAUUCUGGUAUGCCCAGAAGAUCGUAGAAGCUCCGUUCCUCCGCCACAACCCCGUCGUUGAAGGUGGCUCUGAGCUUUGGGAAGGAUGACCCGAAUGAAAUUCGGGUCAUGGGUAUGGUGGUGGGUCGGAAGGAUAGUGAAGGAGGAGGUAGUGUUGGUGUGAUGAAGCGAUGAUCGCUUCCAGGGAUUG
rnacentral:lncRNA from 1 species